UACCUUAAGAUUUCUAGCCACAGGACGCUCCUAUGAAGACCUGAAGUUUUCAACCUUGAUAUCAGCUCAAGCUCUCCGGGUUAUUAUUCCUGAAACGUGCCGAGCGAUUUAUAAGGUUCUACAAAACCAGUAUUUGAAGUUCCCUCAAACGGAAGAAGAAUGGAAAAGUGUCGCAGGACAAUUUGAGCAAGAUUGGCAGUUUCCACACUGUCUAGGGGCGUUGGACGGCAAGCACGUGGAUAUUAUUCCUCCAGCUGACAGUGGUUCCCUGUUUUAUAAUUAUAAAGGACGCCAUAGUCUAGUCCUAAUGGCAAUCGCUAAUGCGAAAUGCGAAUUCAUCAUGUGUGAUUUUGGCUCAAAUGGCAGGAAUUCGGAUGGCGGAGUGAUACAGAAUACUCUGUUUUACAGAAAAUUAACUAAUAAAUCUCUGAAUAUACCAGCUGAAGGACAAUUAGAUAAAUCACAUAGAGUUUUACCAUAUGUCUUUGUUUGCGAUGAUGCUUUUGCACUUCGGCCUGAUAUGAUGAAACCUUAUAGAAUGGGAGACUUGACUGGACAUAACGAAAGAAAGAUAUUUAACUAUCGUCUCUCACGAGCACGUCGGGUGAUAGAAAGUGCUUUCGGAAUUAUGGCCUCAAGAUUUAGAAUAUUUCAUACACGAAUAAAUUUGAGUUUAGACAACAUUGAUGCCGUAGUUAUGGCUUGUUGUGUGUUGCACAAUUAUCUAGUGAAAUCUUCGCUCAGCUAUGCCUCUGCGGAUUGCUUUGAUGUAGAAAAUAUAAACUGCGGUACCACUGUGCAAGGUUUAAGAGCUGAAGAUUCAAAUAUGAUGAAUAUCGCCCGAAGAAACCAAGGAAACCCGAUGGAAGCCGCUAAAAUUAUCAGAGAAAAUUUCGCUGAUUAUUUCAUCAGUGAAGGUAAACUGCCAUGGCAAGACAACUUUAUUGAGUGAAGAGAAAUUAAGGUUGUAGCUACAUCUUCGUGCUCAAGUAUGUGUGUGACAAUGCUACAUAAAAGAACCUCUUAGGUAACUGAAAUUGCUUUCUGGGUGUUAUGUAUGUAAUAUAAUUAUGAUCCAGUGUUUCAUGUGCCAACGGGCCGGAUAGUAGAGCAUAAUUGAUAUUUUUUUAUUUGUUUUGCUGUUAAAUGAUAGGUUAAAUAAAAUUUUAGAGUGAAAAAAUAUACAUAAUUAUCUACUUGUGUGACAUACGAGACGGAAACAUAACAAAUUGACUGGGUAACUCAAAUAAUUCAUACCAUAUUACAUAUCUCAAUAACGUCGUUAAUAUAUAGGCAACUUUAACUCACUUUGUCUCAUUAAAUGCACAAGAUGGCUCAGAAUAUUGUGUUGAACACAUUUACUUCAAAUGUUAAUACCAUUUAUUCUAUGGGCGUGUCGCACUUCAUUAAAAAAGAAUACAUGUAUAACUCA